GCACCGGCGGACUGCUCAGUAACACGUGGACAACCUACCCUCGGGUGGGGGAUAACCUCGGGAAACUGAGGCUAAUACCCCAUAGGCCUCGGAUACUGGAAGGUUCCGAGACCGAAAGCUCCGGCGCCCGAGGAUGGGUCUGCGGCCUAUCAGGUAGUUGGUGGUGUAAAGGACCACCAAGCCUACGACGGGUACGGGCCCUGAGAGGGGGAGCCCGGAGAUGGACUCUGAGACACGAGUCCAGGCCCUACGGGGCGCAGCAGGCGCGAAACCUUCGCAAUGCGCGAAAGCGCGACGAGGGGAGCCCGAGUGCCCUUCCUUUCGGGAGGGCUUUUCUGGAGCCUAAAAAGCUCCAGGAAUAAGGGCUGGGCAAGACGGGUGCCAGCCGCCGCG
rnacentral:rRNA from 1 species